rnacentral:rRNA from 1 species
UACGUAGGGUGCGAGCGUUGUCCGGAAUUACUGGGCGUAAAGAGCGCGUAGGCGGUCCGAUAAGUCGGCUGUGAAAGUCAGGGGCUCAACCCUUGAAAGCCGGCCGAUACUGUCGGACUAGAGUUCGGAAGAGGCGAGUGGAAUUCCCGGUGUAGCGGUGAAAUGCGCAGAUAUCGGGAGGAACACCAAUGGCGAAGGCAGCUCGCUGGGACGUGACUGAAGCUGAGGCGCGAAAGCGUGGGGAGCAAACAGG